GCUCAGUCCUUUGGAUGUUAAUCCAAGUGGACCAGUGCACCUAAAUAAUAAAUAUCCUCCUCAAUCCCUUGGUCUCUCUGAUUCCUUAUAUAUCCCGAUACAUUUCUGGGGGCUCAUCAGGAUUGGAGAUGACAGAUUUACUGUCCCCUUUGCCUGCGAUACUAGGUCCCCGGGGCCAGGAGAGACCCGGCAUCCAAGGUGUGCCACAGCUGAGCUUCACCCGGAUAUAUAGACCAGCUCUCCCCACGUCCCAGCACCCUGCCUGGCAGCGCAAUGGAACCGAGGAUGGGGCUGCAGGACGAUACCAGCACUUCAGGAACUGUGACAGAAUCUUGCUCCGCUGCCAAGGCUGGAGUGCACUGGUUCAAUCUCGGCUCACUGCAAACUCUGCCUCCCAAGUUCAAGUGAUUCUCCUGUGUCAGUUUCGUAAGUAGCUGGGAUUACAGGCAUGUGCCACCACAUCCGGCUAAUUUUUUUAUUUUUAGUAGAGAUGGUGUUUCACUACGUUGCCAGGCUGGUUAUAAACUCCUGACCUAAAGCAAUACACCCACCUCGGCCUCCCAAAGUGCUGGGAUUACAGGUGUGAGCCACUGCACCCGGCCCCAGCUGAGAUUUUUUAAUAACUGCUCUUACUAGGUUCAGUCUACAUUAGAGUCUCGUUCUUUUUUUCUUUCUUUCCUCUCUCUCUUUUUUUUUUUUUUGACAGUGUUUUGCUCUUGUCAGCCAGGCUGGAGUGCAGUGGCGCAAUCUCGGCUCACUGCAACCUCCACCUCCUGGGUUCAAGCAAUUCUGCUGCCCCUCAGCCUCAGGAGUAGCUGGGGUUACAGGCACUUGCCACCACAUCUGGCUAAUUUUUGUAUUUUUAGUAAAGAUGAGCUUUCACCAUGUUGGCCAAGCUGGACUUGAACUCCUGACCUCAGGUCCUCCCAAAGUGCUGGGAUCACAGGCGUGAGCCACUGCACCCGGCCUCAUUCUUUUUAAUAUCACUUUGUCCAUGUGUUCCUUCGAUUUCUUUCUCUGUUUUUUCAUACUACUUUCAUUACACUUCUGCCAGAGUACCUAACUAACUACACUGGAUUAUUUGUUUGUAACUACAUCUCUGACUAGAGUUUGAAGCUCUAAAAUGAGUUUUAUUCUACUCAUCUCUGUAGUUAUCUCUGCAUAAUUCCUGGAAAUUGUGCAGUAAUCAACCAAUAUUUACUACAUGCAUAAACAGAAAGUUAGUAUGCUAGUUGUUUUGCUUCUGAAAAAAAAUUUUGUCCUUGUAGAUAGGAAAAUAUUGAGAAACUAUGAUAUAAACUCUUAUUUUUUAGAGAAUCAAUGUUUUUUCUGUUAAAAAAACUCUCAAGCCAUACAUAAAUGAGGCCAUCCUGGAUCAAUUCUAAGGUAUACUGGGGCUUCCAAAUUACAAAUAGAUAAUAAGGAAGGAAGGUAGGGAGUUCUUGCUACAAUAAACACAAGGGGAAAAUUGAAAAUAACACAUGAGAGUAAAAGGUUGUGCAUUGAUCAUUGCCAAUUAAUCAUUAAAGUAGCAAAGUAAAUUUAAAAAUCAGCGAAAAGAGCACUUUUUUAGUCAUUUAAUAGUAAGUCUGGCUCCAGAGCCAGAAAUAUAUAUAUUUGAGUCCUCAUUGCAACAAUUAUUCAUUUUGUAACUUAAGUGAGUUAUUUAACAUGUUAAGAUUCUGUUGUAUACCAUUAGAAUUAGGUUAAAAUAACACCUGUAUACAGGAUUGUUAAGUAUAUUUAAUGAAAGGAUACAUUUAAGUGCUUAAAUCUGUGUCUGACAGACAGGAAGCACCUAAUUAACCUAAUUUUAACAUUGAUAUUGUUGUGACUUUUUAUUACAUUGAAGAAUUGGAAAUUCAAAUAUCUAAAGUCCCCUUGAAAUAAAGAAUUAUAAUAUUUACAAUCUAGAGGACUUCUGCAAUAUUUGUGAUAUUAUGAGACUGAAAAAAGGAAAAGCAGUAGUGACAAAAUGCUUAGGUUUCAUUCCUGAUCGUUGUAGCUGAAUGAAGAAAUUACUGAACAGUGUAGUGACAGGUCAGAUCUUUCAAAUGGUAGAAAUGACCUUUCUUGAAUACUCUAGCAUUAAUCUGGAGAAUUACAACUAUAUUCAUAAGAUCAGUGAACAUUAAGAUGUUGUCACUUAGUCUGGGUGUGCUGAAUUGCUCUGUGCAAUCAAGUGGGUAAAAGAGCAGGCUAUAAAAACUACAGACAUGGGACACUUCAGAAUCCAGAAAGACCAAGCUGUAGUUCACCGGACACAGAAAUGGAGAUAAGAGAUUUGAAGAAAUAAAGAAAUGUAAAGAUAUGCAGAAGGUCACCUUUGAAUAUUCAGCAGAGUACUUACUAAUGCAUGUAUGUAAAAAACUACUCCAGGAUGGAGAAAGAACUGUCUGAAAAGAUUUAGGGUAAACAAUACUUAGUGCUAACAUAGGGUCUAGUAUUUUGCCUGUUUCUACCAGCCAUAUUACAAAACUUUGUAUUUCAAAGGUUAUCACAUAGAAUACAUAGAAAACAGCAGAAUAAACAUUUCUGAUCAAAUACACCUAAAACAUUUUUAAAAACACACUAUAGUCUAGUCCAUAACACUGAUGUCAAUAAAUUUAAGUUUUAAAUUAUACAAAAUAAUUCGCUAAUGAAAAUGAAAUUAAAUUAGAAAUCAAUAAUAAAAAUGUCUGAAAAAUUCACAAAUGUUGAAAACUAAAUGACACAUGUAAAUAAUCAAUGAAUCAAAGAAUGCAAAAGACAAUUUAGAAACUAUUUUUAACUGAAUGGAAACAAAAAGUAGUAUCUCAAAAUAUGACGGGAUGUUGCCAAAUCAUCUCACAUAUUAAUAGUAUAACUUUUAUUAGAAAAAAAGGUUUCAAAUCAACAUAUCAGCUUUCAAUAUAAGAAACUAAAAAAGCAAAUUUAACCUACUAUAAGAAGACAGUAAAUAAUAAAGAUCAAAGCAGAAAUCAGUGAGAAGAAAAUUUUUACCUAAAUGGCAAAUAAGCACACACAAAAAAAUGCUACUUAACAUCAUUGCAUUAGUAAAAUGCAAGUUAAAACUACAUUCAUAUACCAAAACACAUCAUUUAGUGUGUCUGAAAUUUACUUAUUUAUUUAUUUAUUUAUUUAUGAGACAGGGUCUUGCUCUGUCACUCAGGCUGGAGUGCAGCGGCGCAAUCUCGGCUCACUGCAACCUCCGUCUCCCGGGUUCAAGCCAUUCCCCUGCCUCAGCCUCCCGAGUAGCUGGGAUUACAGACACCUGCCACCCCGUCCAGCUAAUUUUUGUAUUUUUAGUAGAGACAGGGUUUCACUGCAUUGGCCAGGUUGGUCUUGAACUCAUGACCUCAAGUGAUCUGCCUGCCUCGGCCUCCCAAAGUGCUGGGAUUAUAGGCAUAAACCACUGCACCCAGCCAGUAUAAAAUUUAAGAGGCUGAUCAAAACAAGUGUUGACUAGGAUGUGAAGCAACUUCUCUGUCAGAUUUUCUCUUACAUACUGCUAGGUAGAAAGUAAAAUUUGUAAAAUAUCAUCACCACUUUGGAUAACAGUGUGGCACUUUAAAAAAAGUUAAGUAUAUACUUAUAUGAUUCAGCCAUUUUGUUUCUAGGUGUUUAUGUUAAGGGAAAGAAAGAUUUCGUUAAUAUGAUACAAAUACUUGUACACAAAUAUUAUUAGCAAGUAGCAUUAUUUGUAAUGAUCAAUAACUGGGAAUUACCUAAAUAUACAUCAAUAAAUGAAGAGAUAAAAGGAAAUUAACUCUUUACUCAUGCAAUGAGAUGGCUGAAUCUCAAGAUAACUUUUCUAAGUGAAAAUAAGACAUUGCAAAUGAUAUAUAUUGUAGGACUUCAUUUAUAUUAAAUUCUAUGAAUUGCAAACUAAUCUAAAGUGACAGAAAACUGAUUGACUGGAAAGAGAAAGAGGUAAGGACAUAGGGACACAGAGGAGAAAUCACAAAGGUGCAUGCUUAGAGAAUGUUUUCCAGGUAAUUUAUAUGUUAACUAUCUUGAUGUUCUUUAUGUUUUCAUGGGCUCAUAUAGUUCUCGAGACUUAUCAAAUUGUAUACUUUAUAUAUGUGCAAUUUAUUAUAUGUUAAUUAUAUCUCAACAUGUCUGGUAAUAAAUUCAAAAAGAAAUGUAUGUAAUAUU
rnacentral:lncRNA from 1 species